CUGCAGAGCGGGGAACCAGCACCUGUGUGCAGUUCUACGAGGAUCUAAAUCCUAUUAUGAAAAGAAGGUGGGAGGGAGGGGUGGGGGGGCAGUGUGUAAGCUGGGUUCAGUGUGUCCAUAAGCUCGCCCAUGUUGGUGACUGAGAGUGUAGUAUGUCUAUAAGCCUGUCCAUGCUGGUUAGGGGGAGUCUAGAGUUGCUGUGAGUUUGCCCAUAUUAGUUGGUGACCCAGUGGCAUGACGUAAAGACCAUCCAUUUCUCUGGGACCGAGGAUCAACAGGGCAGGAAGGGGAACGAGGGGAGAGGCGCUACUUCUGCUGUGAAAGAGCCUACGUGAGGAUCUGUCUAUGCACCUGACUACACACCUCAUUUACCCAAAAAGGUUGAUAUUUUUAAUUAUUUCACUUUAAUCUUUAUUAUUAUUAUUAUUAUCUUUAUUAUUAUGACAUGCGUUUGGGAGAGGCUUGACCUUUAAAGAACUGCAAUUGUACAGUGAGUCGUACAACUGCAGUGUAUUGAAGAUUAUUAUCUGACCGAAGAAUUGUGAUCAAACUAAAUCUUGACAUCCAUAGUGAUUCCCACAGCUGCUGUUGAACAGAAUUUCUCUACACAUCUCCUCACCAGUAAGUGUCCGCCUGGGUUGUUCUCUACAGUUUCCAGAUGCCUCUCCAAAAGGACAUCCUCAAACAAGUCUGGACAGAGGACAGGUGAGUGAGCAUCAACUCACGUCAGGUCAAGUUCACCGUCACACGUCGGGCAUAGCUGUCAUGGUCCAGUGCUGGACAUGAAACAACCCUUUUUGGAGGACUGACUAAAUUCCAGUAGAUAGACCCAAUCCCUGGGGGUGGUAGAUAGACCCAAUCCCUGGGGGUGGUAGAUAGACCCAAUCCCUGGGGGUGGUAGAUAGACCCAAUCCCUGGGGGUGGUAGAUAGACCCAAUCCCUGGAGGUGGUAGAUAGACCCAAUCCCUGGGGGUGGUAGAUAGAUCCAAUCCCUGGGGGUGGUAGAUAGACCCAAUCCCUGGAGGUGGUAGGUCCCUCAGCUGUUGUUGCCGAGCGCUCACGCUUUUAGCGAUGACUAUAAAUACAUGGCCUGGUUUUCCCACAGUGUCAAGGCGGACGUCGGUGCCAAACCUAUCAGUGGUGAGGGGGAAAGUUGUAUUGUUAGUAGCGGUGAUUAGGUUCACAGCCCAGCGCUGGGUGACAUUCAAGAGCCCGCCUAGCCUUUCCGACGCCUUGGUGACACACUUCAGCUCCUGCAAGGACAGACUACAGGGCGCAGGGACGACUGAACAGAGCGACUGAAACACCAGCUGCUGCACAUAGUGCCCAAGGCUGUAAGAGAUCGGGCAAAUUACACUUCCAGGAACACACAGGGUCAACAAAAGGCCCUGCAAGUAAUAGAGGAGGGUUGGAACAAGGAAGUAUCACACUUGAUCACAUGAUAGCAAUAUAGCAGCGCAUGACCUCUCAGUUUACCAUUGUGUCGUAAGGCAAUUAUACUGGCACGUACAGUACAAUCUAGCAGAUGUCUUCACUUCCCCUUUUUAGUUCUAUAGAAAAGCCACGAUUGUAGAUCCCUAUAGAUUUGAACAGAUUCAUGUCAGUGAGGCAUUUUCAUAUACUACAUUUCAACAGGGAACAUACACAAUAGGAUGUGAAAGGUAACGGGGGAACUAUAGGUUGAAGAGGUGCAACACUUUUAAAUGAUGAAAACAUAACGUAACAACUUUAGCUAUAACGUAUGUGGAUAGCAUAACAUAAUAACUUUAACUAUAACGUAUGUGGAUAGCAUAACAUAUUAACUUUAGUGAUAACGUAUGUGGAUAGCAAAACAUAAUAACUUUAGCUAUAACGUAUCAGAAUCAGAAUCAGAAUUGGAUUUAUUACUUUAGCGAUAACAUACGUAUGUGGAUAGCAUAACGUAAUAACUUUAGCUAUAACGUAUGUGGAUAGCAUAACGAG
ensembl:lncRNA